rnacentral:rRNA from 1 species
AGAGCGAACGCUGGCGGCAGGCCUAACACAUGCAAGUCGAGCGCCCCGCAAGGGGAGCGGCAGACGGGAGAGUAACACGUGGGAACGUACCCUUCAGUUCGGAACAACCCAGGGAAACUUGGGCUAAUACCGAAUACGUCCGUAAGGAGAAAGAUUUAUCGCUGAAGGAUCGGCCCGCGUCUGAUUAGCUUGUUGGUGAGGUAACGGCUCACCAAGGCGACGAUCAGUAGCU